AUUGAACGCUGGCGGCAGGCUUAACACAUGCAAGUCGAGCGGAGAUGAGGUGCUUGCACCUUAUCUUAGCGGCGGACGGGUGAGUAAUGCUUAGGAAUCUGCCUAUUAGUGGGGGACAACAUUCCGAAAGGAAUGCUAAUACCGCAUACGUCCUACGGGAGAAAGCAGGGGAUCUUCGGACCUUGCGCUAAUAGAUGAGCCUAAGUCGGAUUAGCUAGUUGGUGGGGUAAAGGCCUACCAAGGCGACGAUCUGUAGCGGGUCUGGGAGGAUGAUCCGCGACACUGGGACUGAGACACGGCCCAGACUCCUACGGGAGGCAGCAGUGGGGAAUAUUGGACAAUGGGGGGAACCCUGAUCCAGCCAUGCCGCGUGUGUGAAGAAGGCCUUAUGGUUGUAAAGCACUUUAAGCGAGGAGGAGGCUACUGAGACUAAUACUCUUGGAUAGUGGACGUUACUCGCAGAAUAAGCACCGGCUAACUCUGUGCCAGCAGCCGCGGUAAAAC
rnacentral:rRNA from 1 species